rnacentral:rRNA from 2 species
UUAAAUAGCUGCAGUAUAUUGACUGUACAAAGGUAGCAUAAUAGAUUGCCUAUUAAUUGUAGGCUAGAAUGAAUGGAUGAACGAAAUUAAUACUGUGUCUAUUAUAUAAAUAUAAUUUAAUAUUUUAGUGAAGAAGCUAUAAUAUUAUUAAAAGACAGUGAGACCCUUAGAGCUAUUAUUUUAAU